rnacentral:rRNA from 1 species
AACGAACGCUGGCGGCAGGCUUAACACAUGCAAGUCGAACGGGUGCAGCAAUGCAUCAGUGGCAGACGGGUGAGUAACACGUGGGAACCUUCCUAGGGGUACGGAACAACUCAGGGAAACUUGAGCUAAUACCGUAUACGUCCGUGAGGAGAAAGAUUUAUCGCCCUUAGACGGGCCCGCGUCGGAUUAGCUAGUUGGUGGGGUAAUGGCCUACCAAGGCGACGAUCCGUAGCUGAUCUUAGAGGAUGAUCAGCCACACUGGGACUGAGACACGGCCCAGACUCCUACGGGAGGCAGCAGUGGGGAAUCUUGGACAAUGGGCGCAAGCCUGAUCCAGCCAUGCCGCGUGAGUGAAGAAGGUCUUCGGAUUGUAAAGCUCUUUCGCCAGGGACGAUAAUGACGGUACCUGGAGAAUAAGCCCCGGCAAACUUCGUGCCAGCCGCCGCAGUAAGAC